UUGCUUCUUUGCUGACGAGUGGCGGACGGGUGAGUAAUGUCUGGGAAACUGCCUGAUGGAGGGGGAUAACUACUGGAAACGGUAGCUAAUACCGCAUAACGUCGCAAGACCAAAGAGGGGGACCUUCGGGCCUCUUGCCAUCGGAUGUGCCCAGAUGGGAUUAGCUAGUAGGUGGGGUAACGGCUCACCUAGGCGACGAUCCCUAGCUGGUCUGAGAGGAUGACCAGCCACACUGGAACUGAGACACGGUCCAGACUCCUACGGGAGGCAGCAGUGGGGAAUAUUGCACAAUGGGCGCAAGCCUGAUGCAGCCAUGCCGCGUGUAUGAAGAAGGCCUUCGGGUUGUAAAGUACUUUCAGCGGGGAGGAAGGGAGUAAAGUUAAUACCUUUGCUCAUUGACGUUACCCGCAGAAGAAGCACCGGCUAACUCCGUGCCAGCAGCCGCGGUAAUACGGAGGGUGCAAGCGUUAAUCGGAAUUACUGGGCGUAAAGCGCACGCAGGCGGUUUGUUAAGUCAGAUGUGAAAUCCCCGGGCUCAACCUGGGAACUGCAUCUGAUACUGGCAAGCUUGAGUCUCGUAGAGGGGGGUAGAAUUCCAGGUGUAGCGGUGAAAUGCGUAGAGAUCUGGAGGAAAUACCGUGGCGAAGGCGGCCCCCUGGA
rnacentral:rRNA from 1 species